rnacentral:rRNA from 1 species
CCUACGGGGGGCUGCAGUGGGGAAUAUUGGACAAUGGGGGCAACCCUGAUCCAGCCAUGCCGCGUGUGUGAAGAAGGCCCUCGGGUUGUAAAGCACUUUCAGUGAGGAAGAACGCCUGGUGGUUAAUACCCAUCAGGAAAGACAUCACUCACAGAAGAAGCACCGGCUAACUCCGUGCCAGCAGCCGCGGUAAUACGGAGGGUGCGAGCGUUAAUCGGAAUUACUGGGCGUAAAGCGCGCGUAGGUGGCUUGAUAAGCCGGUUGUGAAAGCCCCGGGCUCAACCUGGGAACGGCAUCCGGAACUGUCAAGCUAGAGUGCAGGAGAGGAAGGUGGAAUUCCCGGUGUAGCGGUGAAAUGCGUAGAGAUCGGGAGGAAUACCAGUGGCGAAGGCGGCCUUCUGGACUGACACUGACACUGAGGUGCGAAAGCGUGGGUAGCAAACAGGAUUAGAUACCCUAGUAGUC